rnacentral:rRNA from 1 species
GACGUAGGGCGCGAGCGUUGUCCGGAUUUAUUGGGCGUAAAGAGCUCGUAGGCGGCUUGUCGCGUCGGCUGUGAAAAUCCCGGAGCUCAACUCCGGGUCUGCAGUCGAUACGGGGCAAACUGGAGUACUGCAGGGGGAGACUGGAAAUUCCUGGUGUAGCGGUGAAAAUGCGCAGAUAUCAGGAGGGAACACCGGUGGCGAAAGGGCGGGGUCUCUGGGGCAGUAAAC